AGGGUUCGAUUAUGGCUCAGGAUGAACGCUAGCUACAGGCUUAACACAUGCAAGUCGAGGGGCAGCAUUCCAGUUUGCUUGCAAACUGGAGAUGGCGACCGGCGCACGGGUGAGUAACACGUAUCCAACCUGCCGAUAACUCGGGGAUAGCCUUUCGAAAGAAAGAUUAAUACCCGAUGGCAUAAUAGAACCGCAUGGUUUGAUUAUUAAAGAAUUUCGGUUAUCGAUGGGGAUGCGUUCCAUUAGGCAGUUGGUGGGGUAACGGCCCACCAAACCUUCGAUGGAUAGGGGUUCUGAGAGGAAGGUCCCCCACAUUGGAACUGAGACACGGUCCAA
rnacentral:rRNA from 1 species